CAGAAUAUUAGAUGAUUAAUAAAAUAUUUGAUAACUAAUAUUAUAAAAUAAAAUAUGAUGUGAUAUAUAUGAUAUAAAAUAUCUAAGUAAUUUAUUAUACUACACAAAUUUAUCUCUGAUGUAUAUUUUAAAGUCUGUUUACGAUGUAAUAAUCACGUCCAAAAUUUCUAUUUAAUAUGCAGCAACUUUUGUUGAUUUAUACCUUACUACAACAAAAACGGUCUAUAGCGACACUUUUAAAUAUCGGUACAGGUCAAAAAAAGUGCUGCUGGCUAAAUUACCGACAUUUUUAAAAAGUGUUGCUAUAUGUGGGGUUGCUAGGUAUAUAGUGAUAGUUCAAGAGUGUCGGUAUAAUCUAAAAGAGUCCUGUUAAUUUACUAACACUUAUUUAAGUAUUUAGCAACUGCCGGAAUUCUACCUCGUUGGCUGCGGUGGCGGAGGAUGAGGAGAGGAAAGGGCUCUUCGUCUAGAAUUUUAAUGGAUUGAGUGAGGGGAGAAGGAGAGAUGGUAAUUGAUUUUUUUUUUGUUUUGUUUUAUGUUUGUAAUCGGAUCGAAUGGGCUGGGUGGGAUGGAUUGAGUAGAGUAAUCUUUUAUUUUUGGUUGGAUUAGGCUUUAUAUUUAGGCAUUAGUAGAUUUUUUUUUUAAGUUUUGACAUAAAUGAAACACUUACACAAAAAUAUCUCAAAUAUAUGUCGCUAUAAUCUAAUUCGGUUGUAGUGUGGCAAUAUGCAUGGCUCUCUCACAAAGCAUUCUUUCCAUGAUUUC
rnacentral:lncRNA from 1 species